rnacentral:rRNA from 1 species
UACGAGGGGUGCAAACGUUAUUCGGAUUUACUGGGUGUAAAGGGUGUGUAGACGGUUUGUUAAGUUUGUUGUUAAAUCUUCCGGCCUAACUGGAAACUUGCGAUGAAAACUGGCGAACUUGAGGGUGAAAGAGAGAAGUGGAAUUCUCGGAGUAGCGGUAAAAUGCGUAGAUCUCGAGAGGAACACCGAUGGCGAAAGCAGCUUCUUGGUUCACAUCUGACGUUGAAACACGAAAGCGUGGGGAGCAAACAGG